GAACGCUGGCGGCAGGCUUAACACAUGCAAGUCGAACGAUGAAGUCUAGCUUGCUAGACGGAUUAGUGGCGAACGGGUGAGUAAUGCUUAGGAAUCUGCCUAUUAGUGGGGGAUAACGUAGGGAAACUUACGCUAAUACCGCAUACGACCUACGGGUGAAAGGGGGCGUUUAGCUCUCGCUAAUAGAUGAGCCUAAGUCGGAUUAGCUAGUUGGUGGGGUAAAGGCCUACCAAGGCGACGAUCUGUAGCUGGUCUGAGAGGAUGAUCAGCCACACUGGGACUGAGACACGGCCCAGACUCCUACGGGAGGCAGCAGUGGGGAAUAUUGGACAAUGGGCGAAAGCCUGAUCCAGCCAUGCCGCGUGUGUGAAGAAGGCCUUUUGGUUGUAAAGCACUUUAAGUGGGGAGGAAAAGCUUGUGGUUAAUACCCAUAAGCCCUGACGUUACCCACAGAAUAAGCACCGGCUAACUCUGUGCCAGCAGCCGCGGUAAUACAGAGGGUGCAAGCGUUAAUCGGAAUUACUGGGCGUAAAGCGCACGUAGGUGGUUAUUUAAGUCAGAUGUGAAAGCCCCGGGCUUAACCUGGGAACUGCAUCUGAUACUGGAUAACUAGAGUAGGUGAGAGGGGAGUAGAAUUCCAGGUGUAGCGGUGAAAUGCGUAGAGAUCUGGAGGAAUACCGAUGGCGAAGGCAGCUCCCUGGCAUCAUACUGACACUGAGGUGCGAAAGCGUGGGUAGCAAACAGGAUUAGAUACCCUGGUAGUCCACGCCGUAAACGAUGUCUACCAGUCGUUGGGUCUUUUAAAGAUUUAGUGACGCAGUUAACGCAAUAAGUAGACCGCCUGGGGAGUACGGCCGCAAGGUUA
rnacentral:rRNA from 1 species